AUUGAACGCUGGCGGCAUGCUUUACACAUGCAAGUCGAACGGCAGCGCGGGCUUCGGCCUGGCGGCGAGUGGCGAACGGGUGAGUAAUACAUCGGAACGUGCCCAGUAGUGGGGGAUAGCUCGGCGAAAGCCGGAUUAAUACCGCAUACGACCUGAGGGUGAAAGCGGGGGAUCUUCGGACCUCGCGCUAUUGGAGCGGCCGAUGGCAGAUUAGCUAGUUGGUGGGGUAAAGGCCUACCAAGGCGACGAUCUGUAGCUGGUCUGAGAGGACGACCAGCCACACUGGGACUGAGACACGGCCCAGACUCCUACGGGAGGCAGCAGUGGGGAAUUUUGGACAAAGGGCGAAAGCCUGAUCCAGCAAUGCCGCGUGUGUGAUGAAGGCCUUCGGGUUGUAAAGCACUUUUGGCGGGAACGAGAAGGACUGUGCCAAUACCACGGUUCGAUGACGGUACCCGCAGAAUAAGCACCGGCUAACUACGUG
rnacentral:rRNA from 1 species